rnacentral:tRNA from 1 species
GCCUUCAUGGUGUAGUGGUCAGCACGCUCGACACGUAUUCGAAACGCCCAUGGUUAGAAUCCCGGUGAAGGUA